rnacentral:rRNA from 1 species
UUCCGGUUGAUCCCGCCGGAGGCCACUGCUAUCGGAGUUCGAUUAAGCCAUGCGAGUCGAGAGGUGUAAGACCUCGGCAUACUGCUCAGUAACACGUGGACAAUCUAACCUAUGGAAGGGGAUAACCCCGGGAAACUGGGGAUAAUACCCUAUAGGCUAUGGAUGCAGGAAUGCUCUGUAGUCGAAAGGUCCGCCGCCAUAGGAUGGGUCUGCGGCCGAUUAGGUUGUUGUUGGGGUAACGGCCCAACAAGCCUGUAAUCGGUACGGGUUGUGGGAGCAAGAGCCCGGAGAUGGAUUCUGAGACACGAAUCCAGGCCCUACGGGGCGCAGCAGGCGCGAAAACUUUGCAAUGCGGGAAACCGUGACAGGGGAACUCCGAGUGCCCGUAAAAUCGGGCUGUCCACCAGUUUAAACAACUGGUGAAGAAAGGGCCGGGCAAGACCGGUGCCAGCCGCCGCGGUAAUACCGGCGGCUCGAGUGGUGGCCACUAUUACUGGGCUUAAAGCGUUCGUAGCUGGUUUGUUAAGUCUCUGGGGAAAUCUUCCGGCUUAACCGGAAGGCGUCUCAGGGAUACUGGCAGACUAGGGACCGGGAGAGGUGAGGGGUACUCCAGGGGUAGGAGUGAAAUCCUGUAAUCCUUGGGGGACCACCUGUGGCGAAGGCGCCUCACCAGAACGGCUCCGACAGUGAGGGACGAAAGCUGGGGGAGCAAACCGGAUUAGAUACCCGGGUAGUCCCAGCCGUAAACGAUGCGCGUUAGGUGUAUCGGUGACCACGAGUUACCGAGGUGCCGAAGAGAAAUCGUGAAACGUGCCGCCUGGGAAGUACGGUCGCAAGGCUGAAACUUAAAGGAAUUGGCGGGGGAGCCA